rnacentral:rRNA from 1 species
GACGAACCGUGCGAACGUUAUUCGGAUUCAUUGGGCGUAAAGAGCGUGUAGGCGGCCAGGUAGGUCGGUUGUGAAAACUGGAGGCUCAACCUUCAGAGGUCGAUCGAAACCAUCUGGCUAGAGUCCGGGAGAGGAGAGUGGAAUUCCUGGUGUAGCGGUGAAAUGCGCAGAUAUCAGGAAGAACACCCGUGGCGAAAGCGGCUCUCUGGAACGGUACUGACGCUGAGACGCGAAAGCGUGGGGAGCGAACAGG